rnacentral:tRNA from 2 species
GCCCGGGUGGUGAAAUUGGUAGACACAAGGGACUUAAAAUCCCUCGGAGGCAACUCCGUGCCGGUUCGAGUCCGGCUCCGGGCACCA